rnacentral:rRNA from 1 species
GACGUAGGGCGCGAGCGUUGUCCGGAUUUAUUGGGCGUAAAGAGCUCGUAGGCGGCUUGUCGCGUCGACUGUGAAAACCCGCGGCUCAACUGCGGGCCUGCAGCCGAUACGGGCAGGCUAGAGUUCGGUAGGGGAGACUGGAAUUCCAGGUGUAGCGGUGAAAUGCGUAGAUAUCUGGAGGAACACCGGUGGCGAAGGCGGCAUCCUGGACCGGUAUUGACGCUGAGGCGCGAAAGCGUGGGUAGCAAACAGG